GAGGCUUGGGUGGGAGGAGGCGGAGGGCGCGUCUCUCCGGCUCCUGGCGCGGGGCUGACUCGGGGGCCGCUGGCCCCUCUUGGCCGCCGUCGCCACGCACCGAGUUUGUGUUUAAGGAGAAACUAACAAUGAAAACGGCCUCGUUGACGGAGGAAAAGUUGGAAUGCAGCCUCUGGUGCUGUUUGAGCGAUCCCUCUCCCCGGGGCCUGGCCGCGCGCUGCUGUGUUCUGGAAGGGCUCAUUGUACAGUCAAGGCGGCAGGAAUCCUCUUCAUCUUUCUCACCAAUAUGUUUUGUGGACUCUGACGAGCCAAAUCUGACAUCAGUUCUGGAACAUCUAGAAGAUACUAAGAACAACCAUUCAGUGAAGAGAGAAGCCAAGCUAUUUUCUCUUUUCCUCAUGAACAUUAUAUUUAGAAAUUAAAUGUUAAGAGAUAAUAUGAUAUAAUGUUAAGAGAUAAUAUGAUAUAAAAGCAUGAUUAAUGACUAUAAUCUUAGAGGAAUUAAAGUCUGGGUAUUUUAAGUCCUUCAAAUCUUA